GACGAACGCUGGCGGCGUGCUUAACACAUGCAAGUCGAACGGAAAGGCCCUGCUUUUGUGGGGUGCUCGAGUGGCGAACGGGUGAGUAACACGUGAGUAACCUGCCCUUGACUUUGGGAUAACUUCAGGAAACUGGGGCUAAUACCGGAUAGGAGCUCCUGCUGCAUGGUGGGGGUUGGAAAGUUUCGGCGGUUGGGGAUGGACUCGCGGCUUAUCAGCUUGUUGGUGGGGUAGUGGCUUACCAAGGCUUUGACGGGUAGCCGGCCUGAGAGGGUGACCGGCCACAUUGGGACGGAGAUACGGCCCAGACUCCUACGGGAGGCAGCAGUGGGGAAUAUGGCACAAUGGGCGGAAGCCUGAUGCAGCAACGCCGCGUGCGGGAUGACGGCCUUCGGGUGGUAAACCGCUUUCGCCUGUGACGAAGCGUGAGGGACGGGAAUGGGGAAAGAAGCACCGGCGAACUACGG
rnacentral:rRNA from 1 species